AUACGGAGGGGGCGAGCGUUAUUCGGAAUUAUUGGGCGUAAAGGGCGCGUAGGCGGCUUGACAAGUCAGGGGUGAAAUCCCUCGGCUCAACCGAGGAACUGCCUCUGAAACUGUCGAGCUUGAGGCCGGGAGAGGGUAGUGGAAUUCCCAGUGUAGAGGUGAAAUUCGUAGAUAUUGGGAAGAACACCGGUGGCGAAGGCGGCUACCUGGACCGGACCUGACGCUGAGGUGCGAAAGCGUGGGGAGCAAACAGGAUUAGAAACCCCGGUAGUCC
rnacentral:rRNA from 1 species